rnacentral:rRNA from 1 species
UCCAGAGAUGGAUUGGUGCCUUCGGGAACUGUGAGACAGGUGCUGCAUGGCUGUCGUCAGCUCGUGUUGUGAAAUGUUGGGUUAAGUCCCGCAACGAGCGCAACCCUUAUCCUUUGUUGCCAGCGGUCCGGCCGGGAACUCAAAGGAGACUGCCAGUGAUAAACUGGAGGAAGGUGGGGAUGACGUCAAGUCAUCAUGGCCCUUACGACCAGGGCUACACACGUGCUACAAUGGCAUAUACAAAGAGAAGCGACCUCGCGAGAGCAAGCGGACCUCAUAAAGUAUGUCGUAGUCCGGAUUGGAGUCUGCAACUCGACUCCAUGAAGUCGGAAUCGC